rnacentral:rRNA from 1 species
GAUGAACGCUGGCGGCGUGCCUAAUACAUGCAAGUCGAGCGAACGGACGAGAAGCUUGCUUGUCUGAUGUUAGCGGCGGACGGGUGAGUAACACGUGGAUAACCUACCUAUAAGACUGGGAUAACUUCGGGAAACCGGAGCUAAUACCGGAUAAUAUUUUGAACCGCAUGGUUCAAAAGUGAAAGACGGUCUUGCUGUCACUUAUAGAUGGAUCCGCGCUGCAUUAGCUAGUUGGUAAGGUAACGGCUUACCAAGGCAACGAUGCAUAGACGACCGGAGAGGGUGGUCGGCCACACUGGAACGGAGCCACGGUCCAGACUCCUACGGGAGGCAGCAGUAGGGAAUCUUCCGCAAAGGGCGAAAGCCUGACGGAGCAACGCCGCGUGAGUGAUGAAGGUCUUCGGAUCGUAAAACUCUGUUAUUAGGGAAGAACAUAUGUGUAAGUAACUGUGCACAUCUUGACGGUACUUAAUCAGAAAGCCACGGCUAACUACGUG